rnacentral:rRNA from 1 species
CACACGACCGUACCGCAAACCGACACUGGUGCGCGAGAUGAGUAUUCUAAGGCGCUUGAGAGAACUCAGGAGAAGGAACUCGGCAAAUUGACACCGUAACUUCGGAAGAAGGUGUGCCUUUAGUAGGUGAAGUCCCUCGCGGAUGGAGCCCAAUGAGGUUGCAAAAAAUCGGUGGCUGCGACUGUUUAUUAAAAACACAGCACUCUGCAAACACGAAAGUGGACGUAUAGGGUGUGACGCCUGCCCGGUGCUGGAAGAUUAAAUGAUGGGGUGCAAGCUCUUGAUUGAAGUCCCAGUAAACGGCGGCCGUAACAAUAACGGUCCUAAGGUAGCGAAAUUCCUUGUCGGGUAAGUUCCGACCUGCACGAAUGGCGUAACGAUGGCCACACUGUCUCCUCCUGAGACUCAGCGAAGUUGAAAUGUUUGUGAUGAUGCAAUCUCCCCGCGGAAAGACGGAAAGACCCCAUGAACCUUUACUGUAGCUUUGUAUUGGACUUUGAACAGAUCUGUGUAGGAUAGGUGGGAGGCUUUGAAGCAGGGUCGCUAGAUCUUGUGGAGCCAACGUUGAAAUACCACCCUGGUGUGUUUGAGGUUCUAACCUAGGCCCGUAAUCCGGGUUGGGGACAGUGCAUGGUAGGCAGUUUGACUGGGGCGGUCUCCUCCCAAAGUGUAACGGAGGAGUUCGAAGGUACGCUAGUUACGGUCGGACAUCGUGACGAUAGUGCAAUGGCAUAAGCGUGCUUAACUGCGAGACUGACAAGACGGGCAGAUGCGAAAGCAGGACAUAGUGAUCCGGUGGUUCUGUAUGGAAGGGCCAUCGCUCAACGGAUAAAAGGUACUCUGGGGAUAACAGGCUGAUACCGCCCAAGAGUUCACAUCGACGGCGGUGUUUGGCACCUCGAUGUCGGCUCAUCUCAUCCUGGGGCUGUAGCCGGUCCCAAGGGUAUGGCUGUUCGCCAUUUAAAGAGGUACGUGAGCUGGGUUUAAAACGUCGUGAGACAGUUUGGUCCCUAUCUUCCGUGGGCGCUGCAGAUUUGAGGAAGCCUGCUCCUAGUACGAGAGGACCGGAGUGGACGCACCUCUGGUGUAUCGGUUGUCACGCCAGUGGCAUUGCCGAGUAGCUAUGUGCGGAAGAGAUAACCGCUGAAAGCAUCUAAGCGGGAAACUCGUUUCAAGAUGAGAUCUGCCGGGGCCUUGAGCCCCCUGAAGAGUCGUUCAAGACCAGGACGUUGAUAGGUCGGGUGUGGAAGCGCAGUAAUGCGUUAAGCUAACCGAUACUAAUUGCUCGUGCGGCUUGACCUG